AGAGUUUGAUCCUGGCUCAGAACGAACGCUGGCGGCAGGCCUAACACAUGCAAGUCGAGCGCGCCUUUCGGGUGAGCGGCGGACGGGUUAGUAACGCGUGGGAACGUGCCCUUUCUCUACGGAAUAGCCUCUGGAAACGGAGAGUAAUACCGUAUACACCCUUUGGGGGAAAGAUUUAUCGGAGAAGGAUCGGCCCGCGUUAGAUUAGGUAGUUGGUGGGGUAACGGCCUACCAAGCCUACGAUCUAUAGCUGGUUUUAGAGGAUGAUCAGCAACACUGGGACUGAGACACGGCCCAGACUCCUACGGGAGGCAGCGGUGGGGAAUCUUAGACAAUGGGGGCAACCCUGAUCUAGCCAUGCCGCGUGAGUGAUGAAGGCCUUAGGGUCGUAAAGCUCUUUCGCCUGUGAUGAUAAUGACAGUAGCAGGUAAAGAAACCCCGGCUAACUCCGUGCCAGCAGCCGCGGUAAUACGGAGGGGGUUAGCGUUGUUCGGAAUUACUGGGCGUAAAGCGCGCGUAGGCGGAUUAGAAAGUUGGGGGUGAAAUCCCGGGGCUCAACCCCGGAACUGCCUCCAAAACUGCUAGUCUAGAGUUCGAGAGAGGUGAGUGGAAUUCCGAGUGUAGAGGUGAAAUUCGUAGAUAUUCGGAGGAACACCAGUGGCGAAGGCGGCUCACUGGCUCGAUACUGACGCUGAGGUGCGAAAGUGUGGGGAGCAAACAGGAUUAGAUACCCUGGUAGUCCACACCGUAAACGAUGAAUGCCAGUCGUCGGAUAGUAUACUAUUCGGUGACACACCUAACGGAUUAAGCAUUCCGCCUGGGGAGUACGGUCGCAAGAUUAAAACUCAAAGGAAUUGACGG
rnacentral:rRNA from 1 species